rnacentral:sRNA from 1 species
UGUGCCAAGGAGCAGGUACAGAUCAGCAAGGAUGCGGAUCAGGACGUUGCAGGAUGCGACUCAUCAGGAUGAUGGAGUAGGAGAUAAAGGGAGUAGGGAUAAAAGUGGGCGGGUAAUCCCCGCCCCUUUUUUU